rnacentral:rRNA from 1 species
GGGGUCUCUGGCACAGGUGCAUGCAUGGUUUGUCGUAGCUCGUGUCGUGGAGAUGCCGGUUAAGUCCGGUACGAGCGCAACCCUUGCUCUGUGUUAUACGUGUCACAGAGGACUGCCGGUAUCAAACCGGAGGAAGGUGGGGAUGACGUCAAGUCAGCAUGGCCUUUAUGUCCAGGGCGACACACACGCUACAAUGGGCAGUACAAAGGGAAGCGAAGCCGCGAGGGGGAGCAAAUCGCAAAAAGCGCGCCCCAGUUCGGAUUGCAGGCUGCAACCCGCCUGCAUGAGCCGGAGUUGCUAUAAC